AAAGAACUGAAUAUAAACAUGGACCUUCACAAUGCAAAGGUGAAGGCACAGUUGACGAGACUUGGGAUGAGCUGCUGGGAAGGAAAUGUCAACAGACAGGAUAUUCAAAAGUCCACUGAAUUUGAGAAAUAAGGAGACAAGGCUACACACGUGUACAGACAUGGGCAUAAUCACCAGAAGAAGAAAAUAUAAAUACAACACAAAUGGUCACUUCUGAGAAGUAAGGCCGAGAACAGGAAGAGGUGGAACACAGCUCUGGAGGCCCAAGAUCAAGGUGUUGGCAAGGGUGGAUUCCUUCCAGGGCUGUAAGGAAGGCUCUGUUCCAGGUCUCUCCUCCAGCUGGUGGUGGUUUGCUGGCCAUCUCUGGCCUCCCUCAGCUUGUUGGUGCAUCACCCUUGAUCUCUGCCUUCAUGUUCUCAUGGCCUUCUCCCUGUGUGUGUGAACUGUCCAAAUUUCCCCUCUUCAUAUGGACACCAGUCAUAUUGGAUUAGAGGCCCACCCUCCUCCAGUA